AUUGAACGCUGGCGGCAUGCCUUACACAUGCAAGUCGAACGGUAACGCGGGGCAACCUGGCGACGAGUGGCGAACGGGUGAGUAAUGCAUCGGAACGUGCCCAGUAGUGGGGGAUAGCCCGGCGAAAGCCGGAUUAAUACCGCAUACGACCUACGGGUGAAAGCGGGGGACCGUAAGGCCUCGCGCUAUUGGAGCGGCCGAUGUCAGAUUAGGUAGUUGGUGGGGUAAAGGCCUACCAAGCCGACGAUCUGUAGCUGGUCUGAGAGGACGACCGGCCACACUGGGGCGAAGCCACGGCCCAGACUCCUACGGGAGGCAGCAGGGGGGAAUUUUGGACAAUGGGCGCAAGCCUGAUCCAGCCAUGCCGCGUGCGGGAAGAAGGCCUUCGGGUUGUAAACCGCUUUUGUCAGGGAAGAAACGCUCCGAGCUAAUACCUCGGGGUAAUGACGGUACCUGAAGAAUAAGCACCGGCUAACUACGUGCCAGCCGCCGCCGUAAUAC
rnacentral:rRNA from 1 species